UGGGGGAAUAUUGGACAAUGGGCGAAAGCCUGAUCCAGCAAUGCCGCGUGAGUGAUGAAGGCCUUAGGGUUGUAAAGCUCUUUUACCCGGGAUGAUAAUGACAGUACCGGGAGAAUAAGCUCCGGCUAACUCCGUGCCAGCAGCCGCGGUAAUACGGAGGGAGCUAGCGUUAUUCGGAAUUACUGGGCGUAAAGCGCACGUAGGCGGCUUUGUAAGUUAGAGGUGAAAGCCUGGAGCUCAACUCCAGAAUAGCCUUUAAGACUGCAUCGCUUGAAUCCAGGAGAGGUGAGUGGAAUUCCGAGUGUAGAGGUGAAAUUCGUAGAUAUUCGGAAGAACACCAGUGGCGAAGGCGGCUCACUGGACUGGUAUUGACGCUGAGGUGCGAAAGCGUGGGGAGGCAAACAGGAUUAGAUACCCUGGUAGUCCACGCCGUAAACGAUGAUAACUAGCUGUCGGGCUCUUAGAGCUUCGGUGGCGCAGCUAACGCA
rnacentral:rRNA from 1 species